rnacentral:rRNA from 1 species
UACGUAGGGUGCGAGCGUUAAUCGGAAUUACUGGGCGUAAAGCGUGCGCAGGCGGUUCGUGAUGUCUGAUGUGAAAGCCCCCGGGCUCAACCUGGGAAUUGCAUUGGAAACUGGCGGGCUGGAGUGUGGCAGAGGGGGGGUGGAAUUCCACGUGUAGCAGUGAAAUGCGUAGAGAUGUGGAGGAACACCGAUGGCGAAGGCAGCCCCCCUGGGCUAACACUGACGCUCAUGCACGAAAGCGUGGGGAGCAAACAGG